CUAUCUAUCUAUUUAUUAUAAUCUAUUAUAAUAUAGUAAUGAUGAAGCGCGGGCUGUGACGUCGCCAACUCACUCUCUUUCCAUUCCUAAGGUUUGCCACAUCAUAUUAUAGUCCCACGUGUCAACUUCUAUUACUCCAACAUUGUUAUUGGGCUGUAGCUAUUCUCCACUUUCUCAUUUUCAUCUCCUAAUUGAUCAGCCCACCCAUGAAACUUUUACGUUAUUUUCCCCACUCUUAAUUUACACAACUUUUUGUUUUCCAAUUCAAUUUUCACCUAAAGCAUUUAUUUUGAAACUGUCAAUCAAUAUCCUAUUCACAAACUAGCAACAGUUUGCAUCACAAUGAAUUGCAAAUUUCAGAUCACAUUCACAGAGUACCAUUGAAUGAUAAUGCUUUUGCAUCCCCACUCCUUCUUCAAGAACCAACGCCCUUCUUUUCCCUUUUCCUAACCCUGCCCUUCCUCCUCUCCACCGCCUCCUUCUCCCAAAGGGACUUAAGGAACAAACAUGAAUCUGAGUUGCGGUUUUCAGGACUCUAUUUAUUUUUCUAACAUAGUUGAUCCCUCACGUGUUGUCCAAAUCUCUUGGCAAGCAAGGUCAGGGCCUUUCUCUACAAAGGUUUUUUUUUCAGACAAGGAGUGUGACUACCUUAUUUCUUUGGCAAGAAGGCAAAGCAUAUGUGAAAAAUAUAAUAUGCUUGCGGUUGCUGCAACACUGAAUUCACACAAAGGUGGAGUGUGAUGAUGCCUUCCCCACCUUAAGAGCUAACCAUAAAAAGCUGCAGAGCGAGAAGCAAAGGAGAGCCAGCAUAGUCACUACUACUGUCUCAAACGAGAUGUUGGGGGACAAAAAGAACAUGAUAGCAAUUGUUGCGCUCUGCCAUAUCCUUAGCUGCGCAAAAGCACCCUCCUGUACCGGAAAGCAACAAAACACUAGACAUUAGGGCUAACUAACUUCUGUGUGUUUGAAUCAGCGCUGUCAAAACUGAUUGUAGUUGUGGAUUGAGUUGAUUUUGGUAAAAGUAAGUUGAAAAUGAAGUGACUUAUGUUUGAAUA